AAUGAACGCUGGCGGCGUGCCUAAUACAUGCAAGUCGAGCGAACAGACGAGGAGCUUGCUCCUCUGACGUUAGCGGCGGACGGGUGAGUAACACGUGGAUAACCUACCUAUAAGACUGGGAUAACUUCGGGAAACCGGAGCUAAUACCGGAUAAUAUAUUGAACCGCAUGGUUCAAUAGUGAAAGACGGUUUUGCUGUCACUUAUAGAUGGAUCCGCGCUGAAUUAUCUAGUUGGUAAGGUAACGGCUUACCAAGGCAACGAUGCGUAGCCGACCUGAGAGGGUGAUCGGCACACGGGAACUGAGACACGGUCCAGACUCCUACGGGAGGCAGCAGUAGGGAAUCUUCCGCAAUGGGCGAAAGCCUGACGGAGCAACGCCGCGUGAGUGAUGAAGGUCUUCGGAUCGUAAAACUCUGUUAUUAGGGAAGAACAAAUGUGUAAGUAACUAUGCACGUCUUGACGGUACCUAAUCAGAAAGCCACGGCUAACUACGUG
rnacentral:rRNA from 1 species